rnacentral:tRNA from 1 species
GGCCUCGUAGCUCAGCUGGUAGAGCAUGCGCGUACAAAGCGUAGGCGGCGUCCAUGCGUGGGUUCGAAUCCCACCGAGGCCA